AGCCAUGCAGUAUAAGUAUAAACCAAAAUAAGGUAACACCGCGAAAGGCUCAUUAAAAAAUUUAUAAUUUACAUAAAAAUAAGGGAUAACUGUGGUAAUUCUGCAGCUAAUAGAUGAAAACUAUUUUUAUAUAUAUAUAUAAAUAGUAAGCCAAAUUAUAGGCAAAAUUAUAUAAAUAAAUAAUCCAUCAUACUUAUCUUGAAGGUAGUGACUUCAAGAGGUAGCAACGGAUAACGGGGAAUUAGGGUUUGAUUCCGGAGAUGGAGCCUGAGAAAUAGCUACAACUUCUAAGGAAGGCAGCAGGCGCGCAAAUUACCCAAUUAUAGAAAAUAUAGAGGUAGUGACAAGAAGUAUUUUUUAAAUAAAAAAUAAAAUUAAAAAUUAAAAAAAUAUAAAAUUAAAUAGAGGGAAAGUCUGGUGCCAGCAGCCGCGGUAAUUCCAGUUCUAUUAGUUUAUGUUAUGAUUGUUGCAGUUAAAACGCUCGUAGCUGGAUUAAUAAUAUUAUGAGUAAAAUAGAAGGAUUAAAAUAAAUUUAUAUAGAAUAAAUAGCAUAAUACAUAAUGACAAACAAUACAUUGAUGAAUUUUUAAUUUUUUGGGAAGGGGUGAAAUCCAAUGAUCCAAAUAAGAAAAACAAAGGCGAAGGCAAAAAACAAAAUGUAGUUGGUUAGUAAAGAGCAAAAGUUGAGGGAGCAAAAACGAUUAGAUACCGUUGUAGUCUCAACAGUAAGCGAUACCGGUGAAUUGGAUGUUUUUUAAAAAGAAGAAUGUACAAAUAAUAGAAAUUAGAACCAGGUUCUGGGGGGAGUAUGGUCACAAGACUGAAACUUGAAAGAAUUGACGGAAAGGCACCACCAGGAAUGGGGUGUGCGGUUUAAUUUGACUCAACACGGGGAAAUUUACCAAGGCCAAAUAUUUAAAGAGUGACAUUUUAAAGGGAUUUCAUGAAGGUAUAGUAGUGGUGCAUGGCCGUUCUUUGUUCGUGGAAUCAUCUGUCAGGUUGAUUCCGAUAACGAGCGAGACGAUAGUAUUAAAUUUAAAAUUAAUAAAGAGUCAUUGUUUAAAAUGAAGGAAUAUUGCGAUAACAGGUCAGUGAUGCCCUUUGAUGUCUUGGGCUACACGCGCGCUACAAUAAUUAAUAUAAAGAGGGGACUUGAUGGAAACGUUGAGUUAAACAAAAAGAUUAAUUGUAGUUAGGAUUGUAUAAUGGAAGAUUACAUGAAUUAGGAAUUCCUUGUAAUCACUUUUCAGCAUAAAGUGAUGAAUGCGUCCCUGCCUUUUGUACACACCGCCCGUCGCUACUACCGAUGAGAUAUUGGGCGAGGAUUUUGGAUAUUUAUAAUAAAAGAAAUUCCAAGCCUAUUAGCUUAGAGGAAGUACAAGUCG
rnacentral:rRNA from 1 species